rnacentral:rRNA from 1 species
AAAACAUGUCUUUUUGAAAAUAAUUUAAAGUCAAAUCUGCCCACUGAAUUAAUUUUAAAGGGCUGCAGUAUAUUGACUGUACAAAGGUAGCAUAAUCAUUAGUCUUUUAAUUGAAGACUUGUAUGAAUGAUUUGAUGAGAUAUGAACUGUCUCUUUAUUAAAAAUAAAAUUUAAUUUUUUAGUUAAAAAGCUAAAAUUUAUAUAAAAGACGAGAAGACCCUAUAGAGUUUAAUAUUUUUAAAAAAUUAAAUUUUAUAUAAAUUUUUAAAUUUAAUUUUUUAAAAAUAUUUUGUUGGGGUGAUAGAAAAAUUUAAUAAACUUUUUUUAAAAAUUAUACAUUGAUUUAUGAAUUUUUGAUCCAUAAUUUAUGAUUAUAAGAAUAAAUUACCUUAGGGAUAACAGCGUAAUUUUUUUUUUUAGUUCAAAUAAAAAUUAAAGUUUGCGACCUCGAUGUUGGAUUAAGAUAAAAUUUAAAUGCAAAAGUUUAAAAUUUUGAUCUGUUCGAUCAUUAAAAUCUUACAUGAUCU